UGGGGAAUUUUGGACAAUGGGGGAAACCCUGAUCCAGCCAUCCCGCGUGUGCGAUGAAGGCCUUCGGGUUGUAAAGCACUUUUGGCAGGAAAGAAACGUCAUGGGUUAAUACCCCGUGAAACUGACGGUACCUGCAGAAUAAGCACCGGCUAACUACGUGCCAGCAGCCGCGGUAAUACGUAGGGUGCAAGCGUUAAUCGGAAUUACUGGGCGUAAAGCUUGCGCAGGCGGUUCGGAAAGAAAGAUGUGAAAUCCCAGAGCUCAACUUUGGAACUUCAUUUUUAACUACCGGGCUAGAGUGUGUCAGAGGGAGGUGGAAUUCCGCGUGUAGCAGUGAAAUGCGUAGAUAUGCGGAGGAACACCGAUGGCGAAGGCAGCCUCCUGGGAUAACACUGACGCUCAUGCACGAAAGCGUGGGGAGCAAACAGG
rnacentral:rRNA from 1 species